CUGGCUCAGAACGAACGCUGGCGGCGCGUUUAAGCAUGCAAGUCGAGCGGCAAGGGCCUUCGGGCCCCUAGAGCGGCGGACGGGUGAGUAACACGUGGACAAUCUGCCCCCCGGCCCGGGAUAGCCCAGGGAAACCUGGAUUAAUACCGGAUGAGACGGGACCCGCGAUGGCGGGACCCGGGAAAGGCGCUGCGGCGCCGCCGGGGGAUGAGUCUGCGUCCCAUUAGCUAGACGCGGGGUAACGGCCCACCGUGGCGACGAUGGGUAGCCGGCCUGAGAGGGUGGACGGCCACAUUGGAACUGAGACACGGUCCAGACUCCUACGGGAGGCAGCAGCUAAGAAUCUUCCGCAAUGGGCGAAAGCCUGACGGAAGCGACGCCGCGUGAACGAAGAAGGCCGUGAGGUUGUAAAGUUCUUUUCGGGAGGGGGAACAACCGUGGCAGGGAAUGGCCGCGGGAUGACGUGAAUCCCGGAAUAAGCCCCGGCUAACUACGUGCCAGCCGCCGC
rnacentral:rRNA from 1 species